AUUUUAAUAAUUUAAAAAAAUAUUGGUCUUGUAAACCAAAAAUAAAUCACUUUUUAAAAUU
rnacentral:tRNA from 1 species